UGGGCUAGUUCAAUAGUAAACUUAGAAUUCUC
rnacentral:piRNA from 1 species